GUGGGGAAUAUUGGACAAUGGGGGGAACCCUGAUCCAGCCAUGCCGCGUGUGUGAAGAAGGCCUUUUGGUUGUAAAGCACUUUAAGCGAGGAGGAGGCUACCGAGAUUAAUACUCUUGGAUAGUGGACGUUACUCGCAGAAUAAGCACCGGCUAACUCUGUGCCAGCAGCCGCGGUAAUACAGAGGGUGCAAGCGUUAAUCGGAUUUACUGGGCGUAACGCGCGCGUAGGUGGCCAAUUAAGUCAAAUGUGAAAUCCCCGAGCUUAACUUGGGAAUUGCAUUCGAUACGGGGAAGCUAGAGUAUGGGAGAGGAUGGUAGAAUUCCAGGUGUAGCGGUGAAAUGCGUAGAGAUCUGGAGGAAUACCGAUGGCGAAGGCAGCCAUCUGGCCUAAUACUGACGCUGAGGUACGAAAGCAUGGGGAGCAAACAGGAUUAGAUACCCGAGUAGUCC
rnacentral:rRNA from 1 species